rnacentral:misc_RNA from 1 species
AAGUCGUAACAAGGUAUCCGUAGGUGAACCUGCGGAUGGAUCAUUAAGAGGUUAUCAUUCUUUGAUAUACCACUGUGGUGUAAUGUGUGUCGAAUUGGCGGCGAAGCUUGGUGUGUGUGCCUUGUGCAUGCGCAUCUGCGCGCCGCCAGCAUCAAACCCUAUUUUUAACUACUAGUUGUCUGAUUACUCUCUGUAAAGAAACAAUCUUAUACAACUGCUAGCAACGGAUCACUCGGCUCUC